rnacentral:rRNA from 1 species
CCAAUAGCGUAUAUUAAAGUUGUUGCAGUUAAAAAGCUCGUAGUUGAAUUUCGAGAUCAAAUUGUUGGUCGUGCCUUGGUACGCACUGGCAUUAUUGGUUUCUCCCUUCUGACGAACCAUGAUGUCAUUAAUUUGGUGUCUUGGGGAAUCAGGACUGUUACUUUGAAAAAAUUAGAGUGUUUAAAGCAGGCUCACGCUUGAAUACAUUAGCAUGGAAUAAUGAAAUAGGACGUUUGAUUCUAUUUUGUUGGUUUCUAGGAUCGACGUAAUGAUUAAUAGGGAUAGUUGGGGGCAUUAGUAUUCAAUUGUCAGAGGUGAAAUUCUUGGAUUUAUUGAAGACUAACUACUGCGAAAGCAUUUGCCAAGGAUGUUUUCAUUAAUCAAGAACGAAAGUUAGGGGAUCGAAGACGAUCAGAUACCGUCGUAGUCUUAACCAUAAACUAUGCCGACUAGGGAUCGGAUGAUGUUAAUUUUUUAAUGACUCAUUCGGCGCCUUACGGGAAACCAAAGUGUUUGGGUC